UACGUAGGGGGCAAGCGUUGUCCGGAUUUAUUGGGCGUAAAGAGCGUGUAGGCGGUUCGGUAGGUCCGUUGUGAAAACUCGAGCUCAACCUCGAGACGCCGAUGGAAACCCCCGAACUAGAGUCCGGAAGAGGAGAGUGGAAUUCCGUGGUGUAGCGGUGAAAUGCGCAGAUAUCAGGAAGAACACCCGUGGCUAAGGCGGCUCUCUAGUACGGUACUGACGCUGAGACGCGAAAGCGUGGGGAGCGAACAGGAU
rnacentral:rRNA from 1 species